rnacentral:rRNA from 1 species
CUACGGGAGGCUGCAGUAGGGAAUCUUGCGCAAUGGGGGGAACCCUGACGCAGCGACGCCGCGUGAGCGACGAAGGCCUUCGGGUCGUAAAGCUCUGUCCUAUGGGAAGAUAGAGACGGUACCAUAGGAGGAAGCCCCGGCUAACUACGUGCCAGCAGCCGCGGUAAUACGUAGGGGGCGAGCGUUGUCCGGAAUCACUGGGCGUAAAGGGUGCGUAGGCGGCCCUUUAAGUCGGAUGUGAAAGCCCGCGGCUUAACCGCGGAAUGGCAUUCGAAACUGGAGGGCUUGAGUGUCGGAGAGGGUAGUGGAAUUCCCAGUGUAGCGGUGAAAUGCGUAGAUAUUGGGAGGAACACCAGUGGCGAAGGCGACUACCUGGACGAUAACUGACGCUGAGGCACGAAAGCUAGGGGAGCAAACAGGAUUAGAUACCCUAGUAGUCAC